AAAACUCUACCACUCAGACACAUCCCUACUCUCCCAAUGGACAUUUACAUUUCUGAGGAAUACAAGAUGAAUCGAAGGAAGGAGAGGAAGUUGAAACGAAUGCAACAGACGAUGAGAGACGGCGACAAUGAGAAGAAUCUGACGACAUGUCAUCAAGAAUGCCGCUCGGUUUCCUUGUUUGGGAAUACCAGUACUAGCACUACUACUAUAACCACGCGUGAUGUUGUUUUUAGCUGGUUUUCACCUUGAACGUAACUCAACUAGUUCAGUACUGUAUAUCUCUUUUUGUAUCUGACUGUUAAAAAAAAAAUCUUCUUCAUCUAACAUUUGGUGGGGAAGAAAAUAAUUCAAUAUUUCCUGGUAUUUUUGUUUUUCCGACCGGAAGAAAGAGGAGGGAGAGAAUCGAUCAGGUUAUAAAGCUAGUAUGGUCAGCUUCUCGACG
rnacentral:lncRNA from 1 species